rnacentral:lncRNA from 1 species
AUAUAACAUUCCUUAAAUAAUAAACUUGUGAGAUGGUAAAAAUAAGUUAUAUGCAUGAUUGAAUACUUUUAUCAAGUCUAAAAAUAUAUAUACAUCAGUUAUGACUUGUGAGAACAAACGGAGUGAUAUUGUAAUAAGAAUUGAAUUUUGUUUCAACUCACUUUAGUGAUUUGUGCAUAUUCAAGAUUUGUGAAUAUUCAAUGGAAAAGGAAUGUGAUACUAUCAUGAAACCAACACUUUGAGUAAGUCAUUAUAUAUGAAUAAGACUUGUGUGAAUACUCAAAUAACUCAAAGCAACUAUAUAUAUAAAAAUAUGACUAUGUAAAUUGUUAAUUUCUCAAGGUUUGUAAAAACAAGUGAGAUAUGCAAAUUUAGUUCUACUUAUUUUUAACCAUUUUCAUUACUUUCAAUAGUAUAUCUACCUUAAUGUAGAAUUAGAAAAGUAAUCAAAAUAACUCGCAACUUGUAUAAGGCACUACUUAGCAUAUAAGAGCCAAACAAGCAAAUUGUGAGUGCAUGGAAGGUUCAAACCUAUUAAUUGGUUUCUAAGUUCAAUGUGCAAGAUAUAAGUAAGUAUAAAAAACAUAAUUGAACUUGAGAAAUAAGUUUUCAAAUCUUAAUAUAAUUUUAUGCAAAAUAUAGCAUAUUGACUUGAAUACAUGAAAUCAUAUUUUCAAGAGAAUGAAAUACAUAAGUGUGAGAAAAAUAGAUUUUAUGAAGUGCAAUCAAGUUCUCUAAUAAAUAUAACAUUUAGCAUGAGAGAACUUAUGCAAUGCUAGAGGCAAAUCUAAAAUAAAGAUGCAUAUGUUAUAGCAUAUACACAUACUCAAGUAAUGUGUUCUAAGUUUAACAAACAAGAUACAUACAAGUGUAACAAAUAUAACUAAACUUGAGAAUCAUGAAUUCAAGUUACUAAAAAAAUAUUAUGCAAGAUUAGCAUAUUGACUUGAAUAUGAUAAAAAUAUAUUUUUAUAAUAAUGAACCAUAUAAGUGUAGAAAAUAGUUUUCAUGAAAUGUAUACAAGUUCUCCAAUGAAUAUAAUAUUUAGUAUGUGAGAACUUGUACAAUGUAAGAAUCAAGUCUAAGUAAUUAAAUAAAUAAUAUCAAGCACAUAGACUAGUUGAAGCAUGAUGUGUUUAAUGAAUUGAUAUAUAUAUAUAUAUAUAUAUAAUACCAACUAAAUCAUGCAAUUCAUGAAUCACGAUAUACACCAAAUCAAAUCAUGUAUAAAAGAUAUACAAGUGUAAUACAAUACAUAAAGAUGUGAUGUUUGCAAACAAGUUCUCUAGAGAGUACUCCACUCAGCAUGUGAUAGAACUUGUUACAAGCUAGAAGUAGGUCGAAGCAUAAAGUAAAUAAGCUAAAGCAUGUAGACCAUUUUAAACAAUGUGUUCAUUGAGUUAAGAUAGAUAUAACAUCAUGUAUAGCAUUAAACUCAAUGCUCAAAACACAUCACCAAAUGUAUCUAUCUAAAAUCAAGAUAGGCAAUAUAAGAUCACAUUACUUAGAAUGGUAGUGUGUGAAGUAUGACAAGAUAGAUUGAAAGAUACUAAGUUAGAAUACNNNNNNNNNNNNNNNNNNNNNNNNNNNNNNNNNNNNNNNNNNNNNNNNNNNNNNNNNNNNNNNNNNNNNNNNNNNNNNNNNNNNNNNNNNNNNNNNNNNNAAAGAUAUAGGUUCAAUAGUACAACUAAGUUGUGCGUGACUAGUGAAGAUUACUUCUCCUACCAAUUUCUAUGAUAACUCAGUGAUACCUUAACAGGUUUGAGGUUAAGUUAUACUUUUAAUGAUUCUCAUAUUUUGGAGUAAUUCUGAGUGGGAUAUUGCAGGAUAUCCUCAAUGAGAAAUCACCUAUAUGAGUGUGAAAGGGUCGCUUCUAUGAUAAUGCUAAAUGCUAAAUUCUAUUAAGAAGUCAUGAAAUUACUACGCGAUUCCCAUGGCCAAAAUGGGCACAACUAUGAGAACCGGUUUGUGAUUUGGAAAAAAUCUGUGUGAUAGUUAUUGUCUUGGCCUACACUAAUGGAUAAAUAGUUCAAGGCAUCAUGUUCACUGAUUAGGCGGUAAUGCUUUAUAGUUUUUCACAAGGUUAGGUUCAAGGCCAAAAGCUACCUACCUCUAUACAAGAAAUUUUCUUAAGUUCUCUCUUACUUAGGAAUCAUGUUUUGUGCUUUAAAACAUAACAAAAUUUUAUUCAUUUGGGAGAUUGUUGAAAAAAAUUAAGUUUGAGUUGACUUAGACCCAAUUUUUGGUAGGUCCCGAUUAGCAAAAGUGUUAAAUCAUGUGUGGAAUGGUUCUCCUCUACGAAUAGAUAACCGUAGUGUAUUCACUUAAUCAAAAUGGAUAAGGGGUGAAUAAGAAAUUAUUUACCAAAGUGCUACCAUUGAUAUGAAAAAUAUAAGUAAAGUUAAAAAGUCCCACAUCGCUUGAUUGAGAAUUUUGUAAAGUGUUUAUAUAUACCAAGCUAAGAAUAAUAGGAUGAGUACUUGGAGUACCAAGGUUUUAACAGAGGGAGUUAUGGACAAAGUGUACAUUGGACCUUAGCUUUCAUACGUAUUCGCUACGGCUGCGCAGCCGUGUAGCAUGGGCGAUGGGCACAAUGUGGCUUUAUUAGAGGCGCACUUGGUACUUGUUACUUGUUACGUGGGUAAGAUGGGGUAUAUUGAGUAAUUUUCUAAUUACUUUUUAGGCCAUGUAAUAUUUAAUUAUAAAAUAACUCUCAGCUUCAUUCAUAUUCAGUGAAAGGUCAUAAACUUUUAAUUCUGGUAACAACAGCCAUAAGAAUUAGAUAAUUUGGCUAGUUAAUGGAGUUGUUAUAAGAGAUUCAAUGGUGGAAUAAAUUCAUUGCCUUUUAGUUGUAGCUUGAAAGCUUAUAAGUUUCAAACACCUACUGCAAGUUCAUUACAUAAAAAUUUGAGAGCUCAUUAGUGAGAAAAAAUAAAAGGUUUAUGGCAUUCUGCAUCAGAGUCUUCGUGAGAGAGUAACACUACUAGCUACUUUAUCGAGCACACAAAAAAUGUACAAAUUUUUAUGCGCGUAACCGUUGCAUUCUGUGAGAUAGAUGCCAAGCAGUUGUAAGCACUAAGUGACUGGGCAAAUUCUGUCUUAAGAAAACAGUGUUGAACGCUGGCCUCAGUUUUGUUUUCUAUUUAUUAUUUAUUUCAAUAUGAAGUUUCUGUUUUGUUAUAAUCUGAUAGUAUGAAUUUUAGAUUUAUUUUAUAUUUUAUUUUUUACAUAUAAAUUCAGCAAUUUCCUGGAAUUCAAAUAACAUUUCUAAAUAUAUCUCAUCCAAAUGAUCAACACCUUUCUUAAUUCCUAGAAUUUUUAUCUAGUCACAAUUAAAAAUUAAUAGUCUCCGUUUUAUUAACGUUGAAAGAACCAACUAUUUCUUGCAAUAAAACUUUUGAAAAAUAACUUCUUUCAAUGCUAUCACCCUUUAAUCAAUGCAAUUAGGCUCAUUCACAAGAAUAACUCUUAAAAGAAGUUUUAAUAUUGAAUUUAAAAAUAUAUAAACAUUAAUUGCAUAGAUUUUAUCUUGAAAAUGGGUUAUAAUUGUAUUGAUUAAGGCUUUAAGGGAGAAUAAUUUUGAAAGGUUUAUUUUUCUAAUUUUUUUGGCAAGAAUCAAUUGGUUUUAUCAACCCUAAUAAAACAAAGACUAGAGACUCAUAGGCCGACAGAGGAUUCCAAUUGUGACCAGAUUGAAACAACACGUUUUAAUUUAUUAUAAUUAAAACUAUAAAGUUUAAUUUAUUAUUGAGAUCAAACUUGAUUUUUUUUUUAAUUUUCCGUUGAAUAUUUUGUUCAGUUUUUGAAUAAAUUAAAAAAGAUCACAUUGCUAAGUAACCAACUGAUGCAAAUCCGUGGGUGGAUUCAUUGAUAAGCAAUACGAAUGUUCAUAUAAUCGGUUAACGAAUUUUCCAUUGUAAAAGCAGUGUUUCUUCCCACAAUCAAAUACAUUUCAAAUAACCCUAAUAUGUGGAAAGAGAAUGAAUAGAUAGGUGUCUGUAAAAACAAUUAUCUUUAAUUGUUUUAGUUACUCAUGACAAAUUAAUUGGUAUAGGUAAUUAAUUUUCCUUUCUCUCUUGACAUAUCCUAGAUCCAAACAACAUAAAACUACACGGUGAAUAAUGAAUAUUUUGUAAAUACAUUUAUACAAUUUUUAUUUAUAAAAAGAUAGGUUGAUUGGGCAUUGGUACAAAGAUUAUUGAAUAACGUUUCUCUAGACAGAAAUCAUGAUUUUUAAAAUAGAUCAUUUACAAAUUUUUAAGACAGAAGGAUUCUAAUAAUGUAGUUUUGGACGUCUGAUCAAUUUAGUCAUGUGCUUGAAUAAUCUUAUCAGCAAAAAUAAUAAGAUGAACGGUUUGAUCACCAAGAUGGACCCUAGAUGGACCCACAAUGAAUUAACUUUGCCAGUUAUUUUUAUGGGUCAUACUAAUCACAAAGACGGUGGUUAAAGAGUACAAAAUACUAAAAAAACAGUUUUUAAUAAAAUAAUGAUGUCCUUAUUGACAAUAUAUCUAUAGUAAAACACCACAAGAAUGAUGUUACAAUGACAUUUUGGUAAAUAAAAAAAUGGGUGUUUUGUUAGGAGUUUAGAUCAUUGAGAUGCCAAUAUUCUAUAACAUCAUUCUAUACAAAUUAAGAAGUUAAAAAAGGUCCUUAAAAAGAUGAAUUCCCGAAAAGAGACAAAUAAAAGAGGACGAAUGGAGUAUAAAUUUACAUGUUUCAGUAUACUUUUUACAACUUAAUCAUCACCCACGAGCUGUAGUCAACAUUUUUCUUAUUUUAUAAACCUUAGAUGGGCUUGAUCCAUAAUUUUUAUUUCCUCCAUCUUAUGUUCAACUUUCAUUAUUUAUUUUUAGGUUGUCCAAAUUUAAAAACUCAACAAAGAAAAUAUAUAAAUUUUCCCAGUUAACCUUUCUUUAUGUAUUAUUUAAAUGGCAUUCCAACCAAAAAACAAAAGUCAAAUGUAAUGAUUAUAUGAAUAAAAUUGAAAAGUCAUAUAA